rnacentral:snRNA from 1 species
CUAACUGUUCGAACAGUUGGCUUAGAUCAAGUGUAGUAUCUGUUCUUUUCAGUUUAAUCUCUGAGUAUGUUGCCUCCCAACCUCCUCUCGAGUCGUUCACCCUGCUAACAUGUGUGCCUCACAGAAUGUGACUACGGUCACAAUACAUUGAUUAAUCCUAUUUUUGCACCUCGCUCGAGACUUCCUGUGCUUGCACAAAAGUCUCUUGCACCGUGUCCGAGGCCUUACACUGCCGCCUUGUGACGCGAACCACC